rnacentral:rRNA from 1 species
UACGUAGGGGGCAAGCGUUGUUCGGAAUUACUGGGCGUAAAGGGCGCGUAGGCGGCACGGCAAGUCAGGAGUGAAAGCCCUGGGCUCAACCCGGGAACUGCUUUUGAAACUGCCGAGCUAGAGUGCGGAAGGGGCAACUGGAAUUCCCAGUGUAGCGGUGAAAUGCGUAGAUAUUGGGAAGAACACCUGAGGCGAAGGCGGGUGCUGGGCCGACACUGACGCUGAUGCGCGAAAGCCAGGGGAGCAAACGGG